AAUUCAGAAUCCAUUUCUAGAGGAGGUAAUGAGGCCAUUGAGAGGCCUGAUAAGGACUGUCCCUCUCCCCUAACCUACGCCUGUUGGUUCCUGUUCUGAAAUUCCCAUUCAGG
ensembl:misc_RNA